GGUGCUGUGGGUAGAGGGAGGGACAACCCCAGCCAGACCCGGAGCUGCAAACUUCUCUAAUUAAGAAAUUCAACAUGCUUUCAACCUGGAAGCAGCCCAUCCUCCAGGUAGGAAGAGGCAGAGGGGGCAAGGGAGAUGUUUCCAGUGAAGGACCACUUAUGUGGGAAUAUGGUUUUGGGGAGCCUCCCUUGCUCCUCACCCCCACAGAGACUGAAACAGGGCAGACAGUGGGGGUGGCUGUCGGGUGGCCAGCAGUACUUUUGUGCAGGUUCACAGCAGGAUGGCCAUGCCUGGGGAUUUUCAAGGAGUAGCUCAGGGGUUCAUGUGUCCAUGUGGUGCUCCAGCCAAUGGCAGAGGAAGAUGUUUAGGUUGGAUAUUAAGAAAAAUUUCUUCAUGGAAAGGAUGGUCAGGAAUUGGAACAGGCUUCCUAGGGUGGUGGUGGUGGACUCACCAUCCCUAGAAGCAUUAAAAAAACAUGUAGAUGUGGCACUUGGUGACACAGUUUAGUGGUGGACCUGGGUUAACAGUUGAACUGAAUAAUCUUAAGAUGUCUUUUCCAACCUUAAUUAUUCCAUGACUCUGCACUGGACACCGUGACCACCCUGGUGUAUUUUCUGUGCAGGGUUCAAGACAUCCUGUGCUCUGGACACGUUCUCCCCUUCACACUGGCAGGGAAAUCUGUGCUGUGCAGAGCUGCCAUGGCCAAAACCCUGGGGUUGAGGAGGGGAUGGCACCAUGCAGGGAGGACACUCGCUGUCCCUGCAGUCCACACAUUUUUCCUUUUUCUCCAGUCCAGACCACUGCAAGCUGUGGGUUCCUCCAUCCUGGAUGGACCGAGAGCUGUUGCCAGGCCUUAGGACUCUCAUUUUCCACUAACAGGCAUGACUCAGUCACUCUGCUUGACUUGGUGGCCUUUCCUUUUCUAUGACCAUCCUCCACUCGUCUCUCCCAGAAAAUUCUCCUUGAUUUUAAUUAUCAGGUCCCAAGCAGAGGGAACCAGGGGAUUAGGACUGGGGCUGGGCUCGAGAUCUGAAGAUUCAUUCACAUCAGACUUGGGGCAAGCACCUUCAACUCUCCCUACUUUUGUUUUCCUUUUGGAAAAGAGAACAGACUCUUCCCAUUGCCUGUUACAACAGAGCCUUCCUCUUGCCCAUGUCAGUGCAAUCUCCAGUAGUGCUAAAAAUUACUAUACUUGUAAUGUCACAGAUGCUGUACAAAAUGCUCACUCAGACCCCAUAGCACCCACUAAAUGCCAUUAAUAGAACACUUGGGUUAACUUCAGUUGUAAGACUUUACUAAUAAGAGCAAUCCCCAGUGGCUCCUUCCAGAUAAAAUCAUGAAUUCACAGCAUGGUUUGGGUUGGAUUUCAAAUCCCAUCUCUCUCCACCUCCUGCCAUGGGCAGGGACACAUUCCACCUUCCACUAUCCCCUAUCCACUAUUCAGUUACUAAAGCUGCACACAACGAGGUGCGUUCUGUAUUCCUGUUGCCUUUAUUUCCAAGCAGAUAAUCAAAAUUUGUAGUUCAGUGGUUUAAAACAACACUGAGCUUUUGCAGGGCAAAAAUAUUUGACCCACAAGUACCCACAGGCUCUGACACUCAUUUCCCAUGGCUCUGCAGCCACCUCUAGCAGCUGUCAGAGCCCAUACAACAGGAAAGCUCCGUACCACCUGCUGAGUACAGUGCUGUAGAACACCUAAUGGAAAAUAAGGCAGAAGGACAGGACAAACCCUCAGGCACCUCCACUGCAGUGCUCUGGGGCUGGAUCAGGCCUGAGAGCCUAAGUCUGGGAGAGGACCUAGUGCUCCAGGAGCACUCAGCAGCUGCGAAGGGCUGCUCCAGCGCCCUGUAGGACCAAUACACACCUCCUGCACAAACUCCUCCUGCACCCAAAGCCCAGCAGUCUGGGGGGCACAGGUUGUUUUUUCACACCUCUACUGGACACUUGAGUGUGCAAGCUGGUCCCUGAGCAGGGGAAAGUUCAGCCCAGGAACGGUGCAUGAAUGAUAUGCUAAGGCCUGAACAGCAGGCCUAAGCCUGAGGAGACUUAUAAGAUGAAUCUCAAGCAUAAUACUAAUAAUAUCAUCAAGGUUCUUUAGUUAAAAAUAGAUGAUCAAAACAUUUAUAUUGGUUAUUCUUAAUGCCAAACGGGCUGUUGUAGAGAUGUUUCUAUAACCUUGUGUAGGAUAUAUCAAGAAAUUUUCCCUACAGAUAUCCCUAGAGACUUGUCAGUAGAAUAUUUAGGCAAAAUUCUCCUGGCUAUGGCCUGGGCUCUGGCCAAGCCCUGUCCCCAGCUGGUUGGGAAGUGGGCCAUCAGAUGUUUUCUGCACAAAAGAUAAACAAGUCAUUUGGACUUGUCAAUUUGGGCCUAAAAAGCUGGAUCUCUUUUUUGGGCAAGCUGGAGAGCUCAGCUGCAGGUGGAUGAACCAUGUGGGAUUUCCCAGUUGCUGGGAAGGGUUCUCCAGGCCACUGCUGCAGAACAGGCCUCCCCAGGCACUGCAGGCUCUGGCUGAGGGUGGAGGGUUCAGGCAAUUGGUGAUGCAUCUUCCUCAGCCACUAUUCUCCCUCUCCAGCUCAUAUAGUAAUGACUAGAUGAAGUAGCUUGCUUAUUUUUACUUGUUGCUAAAGCCAAGAGAGUAAUAAGCUUAUUGUUGUACCAAAUGUAUCCUUUUACUUCCAUUUUGCCUCAAUAUUAAUAGCAAACAAGACCAUUCUUCCUAUUGGUGUCUGUGUCCAUUCUAUUGCCCCUGUCGACUGGCAAAACAAUGAGCAAGGGAGGGAAGCAGGGAAGGGGCACAGGGAGGGGAUUCAUUGCUCAGAAAUGCCUAUAGGGCUUCUCUGCAUCUGGCUCUUGCCUGAAAACACACACUUGCCUUGAAGACAAAGAAAUCUAAUUAAAUGUUUGAGAAUACACUCUGCACUUGCAGUCCCUGCAGCACACAAAGGCAGAGUGCAGCUCAGCAGCUGCCAGCCAAAACCCAGCUUUUUGUUCUUAAAACACAGACACACUCCUGUGUAACCACACAGGGAGAGGGAGCAUCCAUCAUAUGAUCCUGUGGCCUUAAACCACUGUCAGCAAAGGCUGAGGCAGAAGCAACAAGCCACAUGUGUCAGAACAGAGAGAGAGAGAGAGAGGGGGGUGCCAGGACUGGGUAUGGGAGGGUCCCAGGAGGGUGAACGCAGCAGCAGCUCCUGCUCCCAGAGGCACUGAGUGACAAGCAGUGCCCGGCAGCUGGAAGAAACCUGCCUGAGGAAGCACUUGUCCUUCCCCACUUUCCCUGUCUGGCUGUCACCAGCAGCUCCUCCUCAGCUGGGACAGGGCAGAGCUCGGGAAUGUGGGGCAGAUCCAAGUGGGAUUCUCAGAUCUGUUUCCUAUUGGCUUCCAAUAGAGGAAAACAUGGCAAAGAAACAGAGUGUGAUACACAGAGCUGCUGUUCAUUACCACGUUGCCUCUCCAGUCUCUCUUUGCUCCAGCUGUUACAGACCCACCUGGUUUUCUUUCACUUGAAAUGGAGGAAGGAAAUGGUGCUGUUGGCUGUGAAUGCUCAGCCAUGUCCUCAGCACACUGGGUUUAGACAGCCCAUUUUUCAUGCUGCUGUCAAGGUGAGUCAUUAAGCCAGUGCCCAAAAGCUGAACAGUGCUGUUUAUCAGACCCCUUUGAUUCCUCUUGCCUAACUUCAGGUGUGCAGAGUUUCUGUGCUCAGCUCACAUCAUCAGCUCAUCCCUUCACCACCCAGGAGAGAUGUCUGAAGUGAGUUUGUAGCUCUCUGGACAAGCCCAUCCCUCCCUUGUGUAGAUGACAAGCUUCCACUAGAUUAUUAAUUGCCUUAACUUAGCUGGCAGGAAUUUCAUCUUUGCGGAUUUUUUUUAAACAUUGUCAUUUAAAACUCACUCUGAAAAAUAUUCAAAGCAGAAAUACACUCUUUCUGGGUGCUGAGAAAAGUUUAUUUGUUUUCUUACAAAAAUACCUGUCUUUCAUGUAAAGGAAGUUCUGGUGCAUGAAGCCAGUCAAAGAAAUCUGAAGUGCAGUUUAUUUUCUCCUGUCUCUGAACCCAAAGAAGAAAGACCAACUGCUCAGGUUCUGUUUUUGAUCCAGACCACUGCUAACCUCCAUAAAAUACCACAAACCUCAUGCUGUCUUCUGUCAGCCAGCAGCAGAAAGACUGGAAGAUACCUACAGCAGUGGUACUUCAGACUACUAGGAAAAUCUGUUGUUUUCCAAGUUAAUAAAUAAAAGGCAAGCACCUUUCUCCCAACAAUUUCUAAAAACAGCAAUACCCUUCAAUUUAACAGCAGUUUUUACCCAUGAACCCUGAAAAAAAGGAGUAAUGAGAGUCAUGUAGCCCACAAAAAUUAAAGACAUAUGAAUUUACAGGUAUUUUUUCACUGACAAACCCAAAAGUUGUCAGGUGUUCCAGUCAAUAAACUCCAACAGAAGACAACUUGAAAAGAGGCAAAAGCAACUCAAGUGUUUAUCAGUAAAGGAUCCCAGUACAGUGAGAUAAGAGUAUGUAAAUGUGACUUUCUCAGGGACACCAAACCCACUGAGGACCGCUAAUGACUAAAAUGCAACUACUGCUGUGCAAGGUCUGUGGUGGCAAAGGCAGAAGGAAACAAAAUAUAACACUGAAGUGGUUGACUAUGAAAAUAAAAACAUGACAGCUUGGCCAAAAUAAAUGGUGGGUGAAAAUCCCCCCUCUGGGACAUGGGAUAAGGUGGGAUACAUCCCACAGGAACAGGAAGCACCCCUGGGAUAUGUAAGUCACUGUACAGGGCCCUGAUGAAAUCUCAGAAUAACAACAAAGCUGGAGUCUCCCAAGUGAAGGAAAAAAAAAAAAAAAAAAAAA
ensembl:lncRNA